CCUACGGGUGGCAGCAGUGAGGAAUAUUGGUCAAUGGGCGGGAGCCUGAACCAGUCAAGCCGCGUGAGGGAAGAAGGUACAGCGUAUCGUAAACCUCUUUUGUCAGGGAACAAAUGCGGGGACUAGUCCCCGGAUGAGGGUACCUGAAGAAAAAGCAUCGGCUAACUCCGUGCUAGCAGCCGCGGUAAUACGGAGGAUGCGAGCGGUAUCCGGAUGUAUUGGGUUUAAGGGGUGCGCAGGCGGCCUGUUAAGUCAGCGGUAAAAGCCCGGGGCUCAACCCCGGCGAGCCGUUGAAACUGGCGGGCUGGAGUUGGAGAGAAGUACGCGGAAUGCGCGGUGUAGCGGUGAAAUGCGUAGAUAUAGCGCAGAACCCCGAAGGCGAAGGCAGCGUACCGGCUCCACACUGACGCUGAGGCACGAAAGCGUGGGUAGCGAACAGGAUUAGAUACCCCUGUAGUU
rnacentral:rRNA from 1 species